UUUUGCUUUGUAGGGUAUUGGAUCAUCAGAAGAUUCUGAAAAAGAAAAAGUAUAAAACCAAAUGGUGGUUGUCAAGGGAAAAUUGAAAGCAACUUCAAGUCGAGUUGCAGGAGAUCAAAAAAAAUCUGAAGAGUGGAGGAAAUCUAUGUAGUUCAACAAAGGGAAUGUUCCGAGCAAUUCAAGUGUGUCAAAAGUUAUUUAAAUUGCUUAUCUUCUUCAGCAUUUGUUGAUUUUGGCGGUUGUUUGGGUAAAAUGGGAACAAAUAUAAGUCAAGGUGUUGGUGUUUGUAAUACUUCAAGGAGAGUAAAUCAGCUUUCGGGAAGGGAAUGUCAAAUGAAGAGAAGAAAAAACUAAAACAUGAAUUGAAGUUCCUCAAGAUGGAGGGCAUAUCAUCUAUUCAUGGAAUCUCUGCCACCUGACUUUGUUACAAUAUUGCAUACAGACUAAGAAAGGAAAAUGUAGUUCUUUUCUCAAAUAGAUGCUAACUGAAGAAAUUGUUUCACCGUUUUUACCCCCUUUGUUAUUCUCUUGCAGUGGGCUAUUGAGGUCUUUAUGUAGCAAGUCGGGUGCUCCACAACGAGUGCGGCUGCUAGUCUAUGGAAAAUAUGCAUUAUGCCACUCCCCCAAACUGAAUCCUAAAUCUAGUAAAACUUAGUAAAACGUGCACACAACUCCAGCAAGUUGUCCAAGAAACAAUUUUGUUGUUAAGCUUUUGCCAAGUAAAUCUUGUUCCUACUAGA